GGAGGGGCAGACACGAUGACAAGAAUCACAUAACUUUCCUGUACCCCAAGGAUUACUAUUGAUGCUUCUGAUCCCGAGGGCUUACGGAUGAACUGUGUUCCACUCCAAGGCAUUCUUUACUUUUGGAUAAUGCGUUAUCAGAGGACACUCUCUCUUUGUGCCAUUAAAUCGGUCCAGUGGCUCUGUCUUUUGAGGUUUUACCAGUUACACUGACAGCAUUUCUGCAUUGUUUCUAGUUUCUUUCCCUUUGUUCUCAGCCUUAGUGGUACAUGGUUUGUUCAGUUCCCCUCCAGCCUAUUUCUCUGCUUAUUGCUCAGAGCAGCAGCCACAGGGGUGAGGCCCCCCCACAUCAGUAGACAAAGAGCCUAAUUUAAAUCCUCUCUAAGGAUUCAGAGUUCGGCUUUGAACCCACUUCUUCAUCACAACACGGACCACUUCAUCUGUCUCGCAAGAUUUCUUCUUAAUUCUUUUGUUAAGUGCCUUUAUUUAGUUAUUUUGAUUGUGUUAGCAUUCCCGUUUGUUUGAUUAUGCUGUAACCUUGCAAUUAUGAUUUUUUUUUCUUUUAGUGCACCACAUGCUAUGGCACGAAGAAAAUGGUUGCUGAGUGUCAAGUGUUCUGGAACUAUUUAGAGGUCAAUGGCCCUCUAAAAUACAGCACCUGUAAUCCUGGUUUGCAAGACAGAUGUGUUUAAAACAAAGUACAUUCAUAAAUCGUCUCUGUAGGGAUAGCUUAUUUUAUGCUAUGGAAAAGGGAAGGUACUAGAAUGUUGAAGAUUGCAUAACAGAGUUGUCCUUGUCCAGAAAAGCAUCAUCACAUUUCUAUCUUCUUGAACAUCAGCAUUGACAAGAGUGGCCUAUGAUGCAAUUAUAUUGGUCCCUGAGUGCCACAGGGUAAACCUCUCCAAAGCCAGUUAAACUAAUCAAGAAGGCGAAAUGUUAAUAUGUCAAUAUGGUGACUAAGCAGGGGAAAUUCGUACCCUGAGCAUCAUCCCGUCUGCAAAACUGGGUCUGAUACAUGGAAUAGCGAUAUGAAACAGGACUUGAUUUGAGAGUAAUGUUGGAUGAUGUGUUAUAGCCUGAUCAAGUCAGCAAUUAAAUAUAAUCACAAGAGAGAGUUGUUUAAAAAUGUUUCUCUACUUCACUUUGGUGGAAUACAAUUCUCCAGAACACAUUCAGAAUUAAGAGGCGUGUAUUUAGCUUAAUUAAGUAUUUAAUCACA